UCUCAAUGAGGGCCUUUUCCCCGCACAGUGAUGCCUAUAAUUUUUCGUAAUUUUUUCCUACAUUUCUCUAAAUUUUAGCUACAAUUCUUAGUUUUUAAUCAGUGUCACUCAAAUAUUUCAGUUUCUUUCCUUCCUAUCCAACUGGGAUUAGAUCAUUUGCCGACUACCUGACGACUGGAGGUGUUCCAACCCCCGCCCCCCACACCCCCCUUUAGUGCCACCCCUGCCUGUUCUGACUUUCAUAAGAUGGAAUGUCAAGAAUGUGAGAAGAUAUGAGAAAGCAGGCAGCUUUUUCAAAAGCGCCCAGUUCGUCUGAAAAUCUUGCUUCACUACUGGAGCAAGCAAAGGGCUUACUGGGGUAAAUGCCCCAGUAGUUAUAUUGAAAUUAUAUAGUUAAAAAAUGCCCUCCUUCUCUUCCAAUAAAUUAGAAAAAAAGUAGUCAUAUAUACAGUUCUAUUAACUAGUUAAUACCUUAAAGUUUUAUUGCACACGAACCAACAAACGCGCCUCAAAGCAGUCCGAAAAGACAUUUUCUUAACAAUUACAUCCGGUGCCAAAUAUAGCCUAUACUAAAAUAACUAUCAAGAAUUGUUUUUAAAUAUAUAAAUUUCGCGACCGCUAUUCU